rnacentral:rRNA from 1 species
CGAUUAGAGUUUGAUUAUGGCUCAGGAUGAACGCUAGCGGGAGGCUUAACACAUGCAAGUCGAGGGGUAAAUGGCAGCAAUGCUAUGAGGCCGGCGGACGGGUGCGUAACGCGUAUGCAACAUACCUUGUGCAGGGGGAUAGCCCGUGGAAACGCGGAUUAAUAUUCCAUAGUCCAGCUAUAUCGCAUGGUAUAGUUGGUAAAGAUUUAUCGGCACAAGUUUGGCAUGCGUCUGAUUAGCUUGUUGGUAGGGUAACGGCCUACCAAGGCUACGAUCAGUAGGGGUUCUGAGAGGAUUAACCCCCACACUGGUACUGAGACACGGACCAGACUCCUACGGGAGGCAGCAGUGAGGAAUAUUGGUCAAUGGGCGGAAGCCUGAACCAGCCAUCCCGCGUGAAGGAAGACAGCCUUACGGGUUGUAAACUUCUUUUCUGUCAGAAGAAUAAGCUUGUCGAGACGAGUGAUGCCGGUAUGACAGGAAUAAGCAUCGGCUAACUCCGUGCCAGCAGCCGCGGUAAUACGGAGGAUGCAAGCGUUAUCCGGAUUUAUUGGGUUUAAAGGGUGCGCAGGUUGUUUGAUAAGUCAGUGGUGAAAGUCUGUCGCUUAACGGUAGGAUUGCCAUUGAUACUGUUGGACUUGAAUAUGGAUGAGGUAGGCGGAAUGUGUAGUGUAGCGGUGAAAUGCAUAGAUAUUACACAGAACACCGAUUGCGAAGGCAGCUUACUAAUCCAUCAUGACGC